GAUGAACGCUAGCGAUAGGCUUAACACAUGCAAGUCGAGGGGCAGCACAUGAGUGGCAACACGAUGGUGGCGACCGGCGCACGGGUGAGUAACACGUAUGCAACCUGCCCAUAACUGGGGGAUAACCCGUCGAAAGGCGGACUAAUACCGCAUGACAACGAUGAUCCGCAUGGUGAUUCGUUUAAAGAUUUAUCGGUUAUGGAUGGGCAUGCGUUCCAUUAGGUAGUUGGCAGGGUAACGGCCUACCAAGCCUACGAUGGAUAGGGGUUCUGAGAGGAAGGUCCCCCACACUGGUACUGAGACACGGACCAGACUCCUACGGGAGGCAGCAGUGGGGAAUAUUGGUCAAUGGGCGAGAGCCUGAACCAGCCAAAUCGCGUGAAGGAUGAAGGUAUUAUGUAUUGUAAACUUCUUUUGUCGGGGAAUAAAGUGCGGGACGUGUCCCGUUUUGUAUGUACCCGAAGAAUAAGGAUCGGCUAACUCCGUGCCAGCCGCCGCGGUAACAC
rnacentral:rRNA from 1 species